CCUGACACUUAACUUCUCUCCGCUCGGUUGCAGAGUGCUUGUUCUCGCGCAGGGCUCCUCAGAAAAACUUGGCACUUACCAUCACCUUGGCAGGACCAGUUUUCCCUUUUCUUCAAGGAACUACACAAACGCUGCGCUGCCUCCCGGAGGCCGUUUUAUUUACUGUUGCUUUGCUAGUUUUGUUGCACUGCUUAACGUCCGUAGUCCCCAGAAGCAAUCUAUCACUGCUUUAGGUGGAGAGGAGUUUUUGUCUGAGAUUUCCUACGGAUGUCCCAACCGCCUUCUCACUGGAGUUUGCGCAUCUGUUAUCUUCUCUAUCGGAAGCUGCUUGCGGGCCGAAUUUAUGACUGAUUUAUCAGAAUUUACGGUCUCUAGCACUAAGCAAAGGUUAAUGAAGACAACUCGCUGAAAGACAGUUCUUGCUAUGUGGUCCAGUCUGGUCCUGACCUCACUAUGUAGUCCUGGUUGACCUCAGACUUGUGGUGAUUUUCUUGCCCCAUCCUCAUGAGUGCUGGAAUUACAGGAUCUCGCCAUGUAGGGCAGGAUGGCCUUAAAACUCAUGGUGAUCCUCCUGCCUCAGCCUCCCGAGUGCUGGGAUUACAGGGUACACCACCACACCCGAUCUUUGAAUGUAUUCUUAAACUUUGAAUUAUGACUUAAUCCGCUGAUUAAGAAGAUGCUGUAAUCCUUCAUCAUGACACAUCAACUUGAACAGAUUAAGAAACUCACAGGACCUUCGCAAACCGUACUUUGGGGUGUCUCUACGGAUGGCUGGCAUGUAGGCCAGCGAACUGAGGGGUGAGACCAGCCCUGGAGGUGGGCGGCACGGUCAACAGGCUUUCUUUCGUCUGGACGGAGUAAAAAGGGGAUCAAAGCGGGAAGAGUUCCAGCCUGGCCCCCUCAUUUUCACGCCGGUCUCCCAGCAGCUGCUACACCUCCAGCUCUGCGGUGUGCACACCACCACGUGAACACUCUCACCUCUGGUCCUGAAAGUUACCUAACACACCCCCGCGGGUAAUUGCGUAUUUUCAGUUGCUUGUGCAUCUUGAGGGAACCCUGAUACAGUUCAGAAUAAUAUAAGUUAAUCUGCUGCAUGUACAUGCUGUAUUUCCUGUCUUUUACUAAGUAAUAAGUUUUAUGAAACUGUGAGAUAUUUAAAUUCAUGAAUCUGAUUUACAGCGGUACCUUGGCUCAUGAAUUUAAUUCCACGAUUUUGGAAAAGAUGGCCACUUUCGUGUCCAUGCGAGAAAGAUGGCCGAGGUCGUGUUUGUUACCAAUAUAGAGUCUGCAAACAAAAUAAAAAUUUUG